rnacentral:rRNA from 1 species
CCUACGGGAGGCAGCAGUGAGGAAUAUUGGUCAAUGGCCGGAAGGCUGAACCAGCCAAGCCGCGUGAGGGAGGAAGGCGCAGAGCGUCGCAAACCUCUUUUGCCGGGGGACAAAAUACCGGACUCGUCCGGUCCUGCGGGUACCCUGCGAACCAGCAUCGGCUAACUCCGUGCCAGCAGCCGCGGUAAUACGGAGGAUGCGAGCGUUAUCCGUAUUGAUUGGGUUUAAAGGGUGCGCAGUCGGGCCUUUAAGCCGGCGGUGAAAUCGCGGGGCUCAACCCCGCCGCGCCGUCGGAACGGGGGGCCUUGAGUGCGGCGGAGGCAGGCGGAAUGCGCGGUGUAGCGGUGAAAUGCAUAGAUAUCACGAAGAACCCCGAUUGCGAAGGCAGCUUACUAAACUGUGACUGACAUUGAUGCUCGAAAGUGUGGGUAUCAAACAGGAUUAGAUACCCCGGUAGUC